GAUACAUCAUUUCCACUCUUUCUACAUCGCAUCCACCUUCGUACUCAAUGGCCGAACAUCAGUUCACUGUUAUUCCUCAUAAAGAACAAAGAUUUCGAGAUGGUAGUAAAAGCGAAUGUGUGAGCCGUGCGGACAAGGGAUACAACUCAGUGACACAUCUAUAAUCUUGAGAAGAAGUUUGCUACGGGAGCUUCAGUUGUCAAGGUUUGCAGAAGAUGGAUUUCAAAUACGAAUAAUAGUUUAUGAGCUUACAUAUAUAUCAGUGAUACUGAGUCCUGCUGGUCUUGUGAUCAGUGGGGAACUAUAUGAUCUAAGUUACGUAGCUUAUGGUUUGUAGAGUUUGUUAUUCCUUAAAGUUUGGGUCCCUAAUUUCAAAUUUGCAUUUACAGAACUAUUGACCCCUAAACGCAUCAAAACGUAAUCACUUGGUUUAAUAUAAACACGAUUUUUCGAUCUGUUUGUCCCUAACUAACUCAUUAAGCACUUGAUCGAACCUCACUGUCAACAUUCCCUUAACAAAUAUUUGUACUCUUGAUCUUCUUUUGAAAUUAUGGUUUUGAUUGGUAAUAUUCUUGUAUAUUAUUUCUCUAUGUUUUGUUCAAAUACAUGUCAAUCAGAGUAGCUAAGCUGGGAAAGGAUUCAGCAGCUUUAAAUGAAGAUAGCUAAAUAUAUAGGUCGAAAUCCUUAUACUUUUCCCGCACUGUUUUAUAAAUAAUUUUUUAUCCAUGUGACAACAAAAAUUUCGGGUCUUGUUUAACAUCAUACGAGAUACAUUUAAGCUUAGCAAGUGUAAACACAACUGCAAAUACUGUGUGGCUUGCUAGGCUUGUUAUUUGCCAGACAAAGGCCAUCCCCCUGUACUUCAUAAAAAAGUGGUUGGCAUUCUUGAAUAUUGCAUGGCCUGUUAAGCUUCAAGAGCACAAUACGUGUUCUUCUAUCCGCUCCAUCUGCACUUGGCAAAGCCAAAAAGGUAUAAUAAGAAUAAAAGAGCUUACCAAUAGAUUUAUAUUUAAAUAUACACUAGAUUUUGACCCGCACAGGCGUGCGAGUAUAUUUUAAAAAAAAAUAUAAUGCUAUUUGCUUUUUAUGUUACUAUUUAGAGUUGGGCAAAAAACUCGAACUCGAAAAAUCGAACCGAUCCCAAUCCGAAUAAGUAGUACUAAAUCCGAACCAGAAUUGAUUAAAUAUCUGAAUUAUUCAAAAUUUUGGUAUUUGAAGAACUGAAAUCUAAUCCGAUCCGAACCGAAGUAUUUUGGGUAUCCAAAAUAGAUUUAUAUAUUUAUAUAUAUUAAUUAUUUUUAGAUUUAAUAUAUAUAAAUACA